rnacentral:lncRNA from 1 species
ACAACAAUCCGGCGGAUGCGGAUGCCGUACCGGAGGAUCCGGUUCGGGCCAAGGAGAGUCGGUCGGAAGUUGUUGCGGAAAGCAACAGCAAUCCGGCGGAUGCGGAUGCCGCAUCGGAGGAUCCGAUUCGGGCCAAGCAGAGUCGGCUUGAAGAGUUGAAGCGGAACGUGGCCGGCUCUGAC